UUUACUUUAUAAAACCUUAUUUUAUUCUACCUCCACCCAAACGUAGGGUUAAGCUUCUAGAAUGGUUUCAUGAAUUCAAGCAAAAGAAAAAUAAGAAACAAGUAAAUGCUACACAGCUCCUUGAUAGUCCACUUAAUGAAGAAGAACAUAUUGGAACUACAAAGAAUGAAAGCUGGAAUGCUAAUAUGGCCUCGGUGGUUAAAGACCUGCAAGAGAUAGCCAAAUAUUUCAAAGGGAAAAGAGUUACUAAUGCAGGUUGCUCUAACUUUUGAGGCUUUGCAGGUAUAAACAAACAUAGUUGUCAUCUUAGCUUUGAGAAAGAAGAUACAGGUAUGUGGAUAAUUCAUACUGGUGCUACAACACACAUUUCAUAUAACCUUGAUUUUUUCAAUACCAAAACCAAAAUUCACAAUAAUACUCUUGUCUAUCUUCCUAAAGGUACUACAAAACGUGUUCACCAUAUAGGAAAUAUAAAACUCAACAGUAGAAUAGAACUUAUAGAUGUCCUGCAUAUUCCUUCUUUUAAAUACAACCUUUUGUCCAUAAGUAAGUUGGCUAAAACCUCAAACACUAGUGUUAAUUUUUUUUUUUCUGACCAGUGUGUAUUGCAGGACCUAUUGA
rnacentral:misc_RNA from 1 species